rnacentral:rRNA from 1 species
CAAAAGCGUAUAUUAAGGUUGUUGCAGUUAAAAAGCUCGUAGUUGAACCUUGGGCUUGGCUGGCCGGUCCAUCUUUUUUGAUGCGUACUGGACCCAGCCGAGCCUUUCCUUCUGGCUAGCCUUUUGGCGAACCAGGACUUUUACUUUGAAAAAAUUAGAGUGUUCAAAGCAGGCCUUUGCUCGAAUAUAUUAGCAUGGAAUAAUAGAAUAGGACGUUAUGGUUCUAUUUUGUUGGUUUCUAGGACCAUCGUAAUGAUUAAUAGGGACGGUCGGGGGUAUCAGUAUUCAGUUGUCAGAGGUGAAAUUCUUGGAUUUACUGAAGACUAACUACUGCGAAAGCAUUUACCAAGGACGUUUUCAUUAA